CCAUCUUGGACUCGGCUCGACCCAGUCUGGUGACCGGCGACGCUGGGCCGGGUUCGGCGCAGGGGGUCGGGAAGCGCAAAGAAGUUAAGUACUUGACCAAGUUCACACCAAGAUUUGAACCCAGGUAGUCUUACUUCAGAGCCUACGUUCUUAUCCGUGCCCAUUGCCAGCCUCGAGCUCAUUCAUUUAUGCAAUGCUGUUGUACACUUGGGACUACAGUAUAGUGUGAACAUAACUUUUACAUGCACCAGAAGAUUUGUGUGAUUCGAUUUACUGCUACAUUCACUUUAUUGUGGUGGUCUGGAACCAAACCCACAUCAUC